AUGGAGCUGCAGCAUCUUAGUCUCAGGCCUGGGAGGGGGAAGGGAGCGCAGUGGAGGGAGGAGGGAGCCAUUUCUCUCCACUGGCUGCAACCUCCCAGCUCCCAGCUCCCGUCUGCCCGGAAUCCAGAGGCCUCCUCAGCCCAGGACUCCAUAAUGCUGGAUAUUUUCAUCCUGAUGUUCUUUGCCAUCAUAGGCCUGGUCAUUCUGUCCUACAUUAUCUAUCUGCUCUAGUGGCCUGCAGCUGCGCCGGGAGCCCUCAGAACAGCUCAGGGGGAAAGGAUGAAGCUGACUGGCCGAGCAUCCUGCUUUGCUGACGCACCGGUGGAUUUUUGCUUCUGGUCAUUAUUUCGGCUCCCGGUCUCCAGUCCAGCCAGAGGCCUCUUAUCAGCAGCAACAGUCCUGCUGCCCAGCAGACCUCUUCCAGAGCCUUCCGGAUAUGGCUAACCACCAUCGAGCAAGGGGCUUUCUGAGCUCCAAGGCAGAGGCCCUCAUCUGGGACCUCAGGAAUUCGUGGGCAUGGCUGGCAGAUACUGUGUGUUCUAACUGUAGAUAGAGGGUGUUGAGGCACAGAGCUGAAAUGUAGACUCAUUAAACUUACCAUGGAGAACUGCUCAAAUAUUCAUUCUUGACAGCCUUUCUUUAGGGUGUAAAUGCAACAUAUGAUGCUAGAACAUGUUCUUUCCUUUCCGUUCCACACGUAGGGGGCCCCUUGUAAGUUCAAGAGCUCAUCGUCUAUCUUCAUCUAUGAAGCGGUCACUUUAUCACUGUCUUUGCAGACUGCACCGUGUGAGCUUGUGUGGUAUCCCUUGUCUCACUCUCCAGCCAGAAGGAACUUGUCGUUUGAAUUUUUAAGAUUUAUCAUAGUUUCUUCCACUCCAUACCACUUGUGCCCCAGCUUCUCGUUUCAAGAGAGAAAUUGUUACAUAAUCCUCAUUGUUGUGACUAGCUGAAUUAUAAAUUAUAGAAAUAGGGUAGCUAUACAUCAUCUCACUUGUUAUUUGGGGAAAAAUCUCUCUCUUACUCCCAAAUAAGUGUGUUUUUUUUUUUUUUUAUAUAUUGUCAAAUGUUCCUUGUCUGGAAAAAAAGCUUUCAACAUAUUUCUUUUUUUUUUUUUGUCCAAUUAGGGUUGAAGAAACCAUAUAUUUUAGAGUCCAGAGUAGAUUGGGCUCCAAAUCUGUAAUACCCAGUCCUUUGAAAAGUCCAUCAUCAUUGUUCUACAUUUGAUUUUCCUUUCUAGCUUAAAAAUAAACCGGGAGAAAGAUUAA